rnacentral:tRNA from 1 species
GCCUGGGUGGCUCAGUCAAUUGAGCGUCUGACUUCAAUUCAGAUCAUGAUCUUGUGGCUCGUGAGUUCCAGCCCCAUGUCAGGCU